rnacentral:rRNA from 1 species
UCCGCCAGGGAACUACGAGCGCUAGCUUAAAACCCAAAGGACUUGACGGUGUCUCAACCCCGCCUAGAGGAGCCUGUUCUAGAACCGAUAAUCCUCGUUCAACCUCACCAUCUUUUGCCCCCCCCCGCCUAUAUACCGCCGUCGCAAGCUUGCCCUGUGAAGGCCAUGCAGUAAGCGAAAUGAGUACAACUCAAAACGUCAGGUCGAGGUGUAGCUUACAAGAUGGGAAGAAAUGGGCUACAUUUUCUGUAUCAGAAUACUACGAACUACACCCUGAAACCGGUGUACAAAGGUGGAUUUAGCAGUAAAAC